UACGUAGGGACCAAGCGUUGUUCGGAUUUACUGGGCGUAAAGCGCGUGUAGGCGGCUCUUCAAGUCAGACGUGAAAGCCCCGGGCUUAACUCGGGAACUGCGUCCGAUACUGGCGGGCUUGAAUCCGGGAGAGGGAUGCGGAAUUCCAGGUGUAGCGGUGAAAUGCGUAGAUAUCUGGAGGAACACCGGUGGCGAAGGCGGCAUCCUGGACCGGCAUUGACGCUGAGGCGCGAAAGCUAGGGGAGCAAACGGGG
rnacentral:rRNA from 1 species